GACUACUCCAUGUGCUCACGGGGAACAUUCAACGCUGUCGGUGAGUUUGUGCUACGAUCAAAACCAUCGACCGUUGACUGUACCCUGAGAGGUCGCGUGCGGACCC